rnacentral:rRNA from 1 species
AGAGUUUGAUCCUGGCUCAGGACGAACGCUGGCGGCGUGCCUAACACAUGCAAGUCGAGCGAUGAAAUCCUUCGGGAUGGAUUAGCGGCGGACGGGUGAGUAACACGUGGGUAACCUGCCUCAAAGAGGGGAAUAGCCUUCCGAAAGGAAGAUUAAUACCGCAUAAUAUGUUUUGGUCGCAUGACUAGAACAUCAAAGGAGCAAUCCGCUUUGAGAUGGACCCGCGGCGCAUUAGCUAGUUGGUGAGGUAACGGCUCACCAAGGCGACGAUGCGUAGCCGACCUGAGAGGAUGAUCAGCCACACUGGAACUGAGACACGGUCCAGACUCCUACGGGAGGCAGCAGUGGGGAAUAUUGCACAAUGGGCGAAAGCCUGAUGCAGCAACGCCGCGUGAGCGAUGAAGGCCUUUGGGUCGUAAAGCUCUGUCCUUGGGGAAGA